AUUAUUUAUUAUUAUUACUGCAUGUACUGAAAUUCUGAGAAGAGUCAUGCGAGCGCGAUUAAAAUUAAAAUUUGACCGCCCCCCCUCGUAUAAAAAACUUCUGAAGUUUAAUUAUUUCCCCGGAAUUACGAGACAGAUAGACACAAAUCGAAAUCUUGACUAUACAUAACUUGGCCAGAGAGACUAGACACAAAUAAACGCAAUGUCAAAAUAGUGUGCUGCCUUUGGCAACAAAUACGCGCCUAAACGCCUGCCUGACAAAUCCUGAGGUUAGUCUAUCCCUUUGAUCUUGCACGUUAAUGCGUCUAUAGUUAUUAAUAUUAAACCGAUUUAAUGAACAACUUAAGUACAGAUAUGCGACUUCCAUGCAUGCACGUAUUUCGUUAGUUUUAUAGUUUAAAGUGCUUAUGCAAUGAAAUUCCUUUUAAAAAUUCAAAAUGACCAAAUAAGUGUUGUUGAUUCAAGUGAGGCCAAAAGCUACUGUUAAGAGUAAAGUAAAGUAGGCGGAAAUUUUAUUAUUAUUUUUUGUCUCUGAUGAUGUCGUAGACGACGAAAGCUAAGACGUUUUUAAAC